rnacentral:rRNA from 1 species
AUUGAACGCUGGCGGCAGGCCUAACACAUGCAAGUCGAGCGAGCGGCGGACGGGUGAGUAAUGUAUGGGGAUCUGCCCGAUAGAGGGGGAUAACUAGUGGAAACGGUGGCUAAUACCGCAUACUAUCCGAUGAAGCCAUACGGGAUUAGCUAGUAGGUGGGGUAAAGGCACACCAAGGCGACGCUGCCUAGCUGGUCUGAGAGGAUGAUCAGCCACACUGGGACUGAGACACGGCCCAGACUCCUACGGGAGGCAGCAGUGGGGAAUAUUGCACAAUGGGCGCAAGCCUGAUGGAGCCAUGCCGCGUGUAUGAAGAAGGCCUUCGGGUUGUAAAGCACUUUCAUCGGGGAGGCGGUACCCGCAGAAGAAGCACCGGCUAACUCCGUGCCAGCAGCCGCGGUAAUUC